AACACCCACGGAGGGCUUCACGUGUUAGGAGAUCACUUGAUGGAGAGACACACAAGAGAACAUAUGGUUCCGAGGGGAAUAUGAAGAUCCAAGAUAGAGAAUGUUCUCCAAAAGGAGAGAAUGAGUUAGUAGAAUCAUGUCAUAGGGUUGAUGAUUUUGAUUUCAUAGAGAAACAUAAAUCAGAUGAACUUCAAGUACCAGAACCUGACCAAGAAACCAAAAGUUGCUCUACUUACUUCCCACCUGAAUCAGUAGCGAGAAACCAGGAAGCGGUGAAACCGAG
rnacentral:misc_RNA from 1 species